GAUUCAAAUAUAACUUUAAGACGACAUUAGAUAAUUAAAGCUGCUCAAAACACGUGAUGCAUAUAACUCUGUUUAAUUAACAAAGGAUGCGAGCCCACAAAAGGAAAAAAGAAUUUCAUAACAAAACAAAUCUGAGAACAUUUAUGGGUAACAUACCUCGCCGCACAAGGACUAAAUUUAGAAGAAGAAGAGUCUGAAUAAGUGCUGGAAAUCAAUGAAUUAGCGGUCAACAAAGGUAAAAUUAACAAACGCAGCUUCAGUUCUAGCUGAAUACGGCUACACCAACAAACAGUGACAAAAAUCAAAAAUUCCACAGCGCAAAACGAAUUUUAGAGAAACUCGAGAAGAAAAAAAAUUGAAAACGCUGCUCAAGGACUGUUUGCGAGUCCAUUAACGAGCAACUCGUUAGCUUGGAGCUAGCAGAAAUAGCUUUUUUCUUUGGAGAAGCCAAGUGAAUUCACCGGAAAUUCGGACACUAAGUUGGGCUCGCGCAUUGUACCACUGUUACCAAGUCCAAACCUUUUCUUUUGUUUCUCGUUCGUUCCUUUUUCACACCUUUUUCCCAUUUCCUUUUUUUGUGUGUGUGUCUGUGCUCUAGAUGAUGAAAGAAUGAGGAGAACCAGUGAGAGUAAGAAUGGAGAAUAAGAGGUCGGUCGCUAGGGUUCAAUAAUCUAUUUUUUGAGAUGGGAUCUGUUGUGUUAUAGAGGGGAAGGAAUAGCUAGGGCU
rnacentral:lncRNA from 1 species